GGGCCUGUAGCUCAGUUGGUUAGAGCGGUACUCUUAUAAGGUACUGGUCGAUGGUUCAAGUCCAUCCAGGCCCACCA
rnacentral:tRNA from 1 species